rnacentral:rRNA from 1 species
UAGGGAAUAUUGCACAAUGGGCGAAAGCCUGAUGCAGCCAUGCCGCGUGUGUGAAGAAGGCCUUAGGGUUGUAAAGCACUUUCAGUGGCGAAGAAAAAGCCGGCGCCAAUACCGCCGGCCAUUGACGUUAACCACAGAAGAAGCACCGGCCAACUCCGUGCCAGCAGCCGCGGUAAUACGGAGGGUGCGAACGUUAAUCGGAAUUACUGGGCGUAAAGCGCGCGUAGGCGGUUUGUUAAGUGAGAUGUGAAAGCCCCGGGCUCAACCUGGGAACUGCGUUUCAAACUGGCAAACUAGAGUUCAGUAGAGGGAGGUGGAAUUUCCUGUGUAGCGGUGGAAUGCGUAGAUAUAGGAAGGAACACCAGUGGCGAAGGCGGCCUCCUGGACUGAAACUGACGCUCAUGUGCGAAAGCGUGGGGAGCAAACAGGAUUAGAUACCCCCGUAGUCC